GAUGAACGCUGGCGGCGUGCCUAAUACAUGCAAGUCGAGCGAACAGACGAGGAGCUUGCUCCUCUGACGUUAGCGGCGGACGGGUGAGUAACACGUGGAUAACCUACCUAUAAGACUGGGAUAACUUCGGGAAACCGGAGCUAAGACCGGAUAAUAUAUUGAACCGCAUGGUUCAAUAGUUAAAGACGGUUUUGCUGUCACUUAUAGAUGGAUCCGCGCCGCAUUAGCUAGUUGUUAAGGUAACGGCUUACCAAGGCGACGAUGCGUAGCCGACCUGAGAGGGUGAUCGGCCACACUGGAACUGAGCCACGGUCCAGACUCCUACGGGAGGCAGCAGUAGGGAAUCUUCGGCAAUGGGCGAAAGCCUGACGGAGCAGCGCGGCGUGAGUGAUGAAGGUCUUCGGAUCGUAAAACUCUGUUAUUAGGGAAGAACAAAUGUGUAAGUAACUAUGCACGUCUUGACGGUACCUAAUCAGAAAGCCACGGCUAACUACGUG
rnacentral:rRNA from 1 species